UACGGGGGGGGCAAGCGUUGUUCGGAAUUACUGGGCGUAAAGGGCUCGUAGGCGGCCAACUAAGUCAGACGUGAAAUCCCUCGGCUUAACCGGGGAACUGCGUCUGAUACUGGAUGGCUUGAGGUUGGGGAGAGGGAUGCGGAAUUCCAGGUGUAGCGGUGAAAUGCGUAGAGAUCUGGAGGAAUACCGAUGGCGAAGGCAGCCAUCUGGCCUAACACUGACGCUGAGGUGCGAAAGCGUGGGGAGCAAACAGG
rnacentral:rRNA from 1 species